rnacentral:rRNA from 1 species
GACAGAGGGUGCAAACGUUGCUCGGAAUUACUGGGCGUAAAGGGCGUGUAGGCGGGAAGGCAAGUCGGGCGUGAAAGCCCCAGGCUCAACCUGGGAACUGCACUCGAAACUGCCUUUCUUGAGUGCCGGAGAGGAAAGCGGAAUUCCUGGUGUAGAGGUGAAAUUCGUAGAUAUCAGGAGGAACACCAGUGGCGAAGGCGGCUUUCUGGACGGUAAACUGACGCUGAGACGCGAAAGCGUGGGAAGCAAACAGGAUUAAGAUACCCCGA